UCCUGUGAUAAAAAUAUACUCUUCAGUGAAAUGGAGAAAGGAAAGAAAGAAAGAAAUGAACUUAUAUUUUGCCAUUGAAGUCUUACGAGAAUUCUAUAAGGAGAGUUCCUCUUCUCUAAGUGAUCAACAGUGAUUCUAAGCCAGAACCAACCAGCUCCUGUGAAAAGGGAUUAGCCUGCCAUCCUCUCUGCAGCUGUUGGCUGAUGCCAGCCUCAUGCCUUUGGAUUUUCCAGCCACCAGAAUU